rnacentral:rRNA from 1 species
CACGUAGGGUGCGAGCGUUGUCCGGAAUUAUUGGGCGUAAAGAGCUCGUAGGCGGUCCGUCGCGUCGGAUGUGAAAUUCCAGGGCUCAACCCUGGACCUGCAUUCGAUACGGGCGGACUAGAGUUCGGUAGGGGAGACUGGAAUUCCUGGUGUAGCGGUGAAAUGCGCAGAUAUCAGGAGGAACACCUGUGGCGAAGGCGGCCACCUGGACGACAACUGACGCUGAGACGCGAAAGCGUGGGUAGCAAACAGG